rnacentral:rRNA from 1 species
GGCGGCGUGCCUAAUACAUGCAAGUAGAACGCUGAAGGAGGAGCUUGCUUCUCUGGAUGAGUUGCGAACGGGUGAGUAACGCGUAGGUAACCUGCCUGGUAGCGGGGGAUAACUAUUGGAAACGAUAGCUAAUACCGCAUAACAGUAGAUGUUGCAUGACAUUUGCUUAAAAGGUGCAAUUGCAUCACUACCAGAUGGACCUGCGUUGUAUUAGCUAGUUGGUGGGGUAACGGCUCACCAAGGCGACGAUACAUAGCCGACCUGAGAGGGUGAUCGGCCACACUGGGACUGAGACACGGCCCAGACUCCUACGGGAGGCAGCAGUAGGGAAUCUUCGGCAAUGGACGGAAGUCUGACCGAGCAACGCCGCGUGAGUGAAGAAGGUUUUCGGAUCGUAAAGCUCUGUUGUAAGAGAAGAACGAGUGUGAGAGUGGAAAGUUCACCACUGUGACGGAUCUUACC